rnacentral:lncRNA from 1 species
UAUGUAUUAUUUUGUAGGAUAAUCCCAAAGAAUCUAGGGGAUAUAACUUCUAUCAUGCUAAAGAAUAAAAGUCGUUCGGCAUUCUUUUCAGAAAAAGAGUAUCUUAGUGAAGGAACUGGUACCUUUAAUAUAGAACUUAUAAAGUUCAACAGAUAGAAGAACCAACACAAUCUAGUAAACCUAUAGAAUUGGAUUUGAUUAGAUCAAACUUGAAACCCGUUGUAGAGGCACCAUUAAGA